UACGGAGGGUGCGAGCGUUGUCCGGAAUUAUUGGGCGUAAAGGGCGCGUAGGCGGCUUUGCAAGUGACGGGUGAAAGCCCUCGGCUUAACCGAGGAACUGCCUGUCAGACUGUGAGGCUUGAGACCGGGAGAGGUGAGUGGAAUUCCCAGUGUAGCGGUGAAAUGCGCAGAUAUCAGGAGGAACACCGGUGGCGAAGGCGGGUCUCUGGGCAACAACUGACGCUGAGGAGCGAAAGCGUGGGGAGCGAACAGG
rnacentral:rRNA from 1 species